rnacentral:rRNA from 1 species
CCUACGGGAGGCAGCAGUGGGGAAUAUUGCACAAUGGGGGAAACCCUGAUGCAGCGACGCCGCGUGAGUGAAGAAGUAUUUCGGUAUGUAAAGCUCUAUCAGCAGGGAAGAAAAUGACGGUACCUGAUUAAGAAGCGCCGGCUAACUACGAGCCAGCAGCCGCGGUAAUACGUAGGGGGCAAGCGUUAUCCGGAUUUACUGGGUGUAAAGGGAGCGUAGAGGGCAGCACAAGUCUGGAGUGAAAUGCCGGGGCUUAACCCCGGAACUGCGUUGGAAACUGGGCAGCUAGAGGGCAGGAGAGGUAAGUGGAAUUCGUAGUGUAGCGGUGAAAUGCGUAGAUAUUAGGAGGAACACCAGUGGAGAAGGCGGCUUACUGGACUGUAACUGACGUUGAGGCUCGAAAGCGUGGGGAGCAAACAGGAUUAGAUACCCGAGUAGUC